ACUCUAAGGAGACUGCCGGUGGACAAACCGGAGGAAGGUGGGGAUGACGUCAAGUCAUCAUGGCCCUUACGGCCUGGGCUACACACGUGCUACAAUGGUCGGUACAAAGGGUUGCCAAGCCGCGAGGUGGAGCUAAUCCCAUAAAACCGAUCGUAGUCCGGAUCGCAGUCUGCAACUCGACUGCGUGAAGUCGGAAUCGCUAGUAAUCGUGAAUCAGAAUGUCACGGUGAAUACGUUCCCGGGCCUU
rnacentral:rRNA from 1 species